ACCAGUGUGUUUUUGUGUGCUACGCUCUAACCACUCGGUCACGUCACGGAGGCCAUUGUAUAAGAGUGUUUUAGACACUGGAUGUAUAUAUGGACACUGGGGCUUUUUUAUAGUAUGAUUUGUUCAGAAAUUUUUUCUCUCUGCAUUAUUUGUGCCUUUUGAUCAGAAACCAAAUUUUUUCAGAAAUGACUUAGGAAUUCUCGCACAGGACAAAAUCCAAUAUGGCGGACUCUAUAGGUAAUGGACGUAUCAUGGAUUAAUCAGAAGAAUUUCCAUAUAUAUGGAGAGAAGAAACAUGAUAGUGGAUGGCAACAGUCUACAAGCUCCAGAUGGAAAGAGACAGAUAAAGAUUUUCUAAAGGUGUAUAUAAGGACCCAUCCUCCUCCAAACCAAUUCAUAUUGGAAGGAAUUGGCAUCCAAUUUGAAAGAAGUACUACAGACUUCCAGAACAGACACAUCUGAUGCAGAGAAGCAAUAAAUUCAGUAGACUUUAUUGAAAAUGAGAAAUUUCUGAGUGAAAGUGAAGAUUGUGGCACACAAGCAGACAUUAGCAUUUCCUCUCUUUUGUUUGUUUGGUGGAAGAGGGAACCCAGAUGCAAUUUACCUGGGAAGAGACCACCGACCUUCCGAAAGUCAACUGGGAAACUUUCUCACUUACCGACACGAGCGGAAUUCGAACCCGCACCGACAGGUUGUGUGAUUUUGAGCGCGAUGCUCUAACCACUUGGCCACGGAGGCCCCUGGAAACAUAUUGAAGCGUGGACUUACUAUAUACCUUAGAUUAGAGUUGAGCAUUUUGAGAGAGACUCUUCAGAAGUAGAUAUGGAGGUAGUUAGUUCUCAGAACAAGAAGUUAAGCUAACAGUAGGAGGAAUAGCAACAAGAAGUUAAGCUAACAGUAGGAGGAAUAGCAACAAGAAGUUAAGCUAACAGUAGGAGGAAUAGCAGUUCAUUCCACAGUAUGGCCAAAGAAAUUAUCCAAUACAUGCAAUCAAAGACUCGACUGAAAGAGAAGAUUUGAUGGAAGUUGAAGAAUCUUCAAACUAUAUAACAUAGACACAUUUCAGUCACUUGUGGGGGGGGGGGGGGGGGGGGAUAACAUCUACAUGUGUAUGAGGAUAUUUGCCAACUUUCAGAUGGGAGUUUGUUGCACAAGAAAUGCUUGAUCAUCAUCCUUUUUUUAUUUGAAACCUUUUCUAUGCAAAUAAUUGUUAUAAAUGAAAUUUAGCUAUUUUAUUAGUAAACAUGUUUUCUGCACAAGUGUGUGCCUUUGACAUUUAAUGCUAUGAUAUUGAAAUAUUCUUAAACAAUGGAAGAUCUCUACCAGUUACUUCUAAUGAAAGCCAAAAACAGGAAUCGAACCUGUUCCUCUUCUGUACAGAUCCGCAAGUGUGCACCAGUACACCAGGUUGACAUAUAUUAAGAGCCAUUCUCUGUAAGCAUCAAAACGUGGAAAACGACCGACACGGAUUUUGUCGAAAUUUUACACAAAGUAUACAUACUUCAGUCCUUUAAUCAUGACACCUUUAAAAAUGGGCUUUGACUCGUGUUUCCAUGGCAACAAGACAUCCAAUUUGGUGCAAAGACGUGCCCCUCAGUAAAUAUUGAAUUUUCCUUUAUAAAAAUGUGUUUAUUCAUUUUUCAUUUAAUUUCCAUUGCUAUUUAAUUAAGCUAUGUUGUGUGUAAUUUUUUAAAUAAAAUUAAUUUGCCGCAACGCCUUAACAUGAAAUAUAUGCCCUCAAAUACCCAAAAAUCCCACUGAAAAUGAGAGAAAAUUGUUUCAAUUUUGUGCAAAAACACAACCACUGGUGGAUUGUUCUUCCAUUGAUAAAUGUGUAUCGUAUCUACUAGAAUAACAUAUUAAAAAAAUUAGAGAUGUCAUAUUUCAUUUAAGAAAAUAAAUUGAUUUUAAGAUUUGCGCUAUUGCGAAAAUAUGCGAGUUUUUCCGAAAUCUAGAUCACCUCGACUCUUGACUGCAAUGCGUAUUCCAAGUAUAUUCAUGAUCAAGACAAGUUACGUCCCUUUUCUAAAGUGAAAGUAGAAAGUCAUGAGUGGUGAUUUGGAUAUUUUGAGCUGGUUUAAGUCUUUAAAUCAACUAGAAUUUUACAUUUGAUACUUAAGUGUUUGUCGGAGACCGUUAUGCUCUCGAUGGGUAGCUUUCAAUGAUGAUGUAUCAGUGGAUUUACACUGCGAUCGUGAUUACAACAGUGAGAACUUGUAUGCAAAAACUUCUGAGAAGAUUAGCCGAAAAAGAAAAAGCACAGGUGGCAUUAAAUGUGUCCAAUGCUGUUGUCAUAAGAAUUCAGAUCCGUAAGUACUUUACUAUCAUUCAUUUUGCCUCAGUUUGUAAAAUAACUAGACAGUAAACAAAUAUAUAGAUCUAUCCAAUCCAUAUGCAAUUCACCGUUGAACUGUUGAAUAUAAACUUCAAGCAAAAUCUUGUACAUGAGAAAUGCCUGUGCCGAUAGGUGUUUGUGAAUAAGAUUUAUCACAUUAACUUUAACGUUUGUAUUAUUAAAAUAUUCAUAAAUCUGUCAAUUUAAUUUCAUCUUGAAGUUCUGAUGUUAUUUAAACUUAUUAAUCAGCAAGAAAUAUUUAUUAUUGUUAAUAUACAUUUGUAGCUCUGACAGUCAGGGGUGCAGAUUCAAGAUUGGAUGUUCUAAAUGAAAUCAAGACAGAAAUAUUUUCUCUGAGGAAUGUAUAAGACUCAGCAUCAUCAUGACAACACAGUUGUGGGUCAUUAAAAUUAAAGUGGAUCCAACAUGGCUGGAACUUGUUUAAAGAUUGUUCAGCUGGAAUGUGUCCACUGAGAAAAUCACAGAGGCUGAAACUGUUGGAGAAUAUUUGAUGACCUGUUUUUGAAUUUCUCAUCACUUUUCAUGGAAGGAACUGUACUCAACUGAAUAAUGCAACUGUACAUGUCCAUAGUUUACAGAAAAAUACUUAUAUAUAUGCAAAAACAAAUAUAGUGUGUUAGUCAUUGUUUACAAACUCAUUUUUAGAUAAAGCUUGAACAUAUAAU